rnacentral:tRNA from 16 species
GGUGAAGCACGUGACUGCCAAACACAUGGUUCCAGGUUCGAAUCCGA